rfam:Anolis carolinensis unplaced genomic scaffold chrTn0273, whole genome shotgun sequence.
ACGGACGCACGCAGGGCUUCCCUCCGUGUAUUUGACGAUCUGAUCGCACACUCCGUCUGCACCAGAGUGUCAGUUUGUCAAAUAUACAAAGGGCGGCCUCUGACCCG